rnacentral:rRNA from 1 species
GAUGAACGCUAGCUACAGGCUUAACACAUGCAAGUCGAGGGACCGGCGCACGGGUGAGUAACGCGUAUCCAACCUUCCCAUUACUGUGGGAUAACCUGCCGAAAGGCAGACUAAUACCGCAUGGUAAUGGCUGGGGAUGCGUGUGAUGAGCUUGUUGGCGGGGUAACGUCCCACCAAGGCGACGAUCAGUAGGGGUUCUGAGAGGAAGGUCCCCCACAUGGGAACUGGGACACGGUCCAAACGGCUACGGGAGGCAGCAGUGAGGAAAAUUGGUCAAGGGGCGAGAGCCUGAACCAGCCAAGUAGCGUGCAGGAUGACGGCCUAUGGAUUGUAAACUGCUUUUGUAUGGGGAUGGUUCCAUACGAAUAAGGACCGGCUAAUUCCGUGCCAGCAGCCGCGGUAAUAC